UGGGGAAUAUUGGACAAUGGGCGAAAGCCUGAUCCAGCCAUGCCGCGUGUGUGAAGAAGGUCUUCGGAUUGUAAAGCACUUUAAGUUGGGAGGAAGGGCAUUAACCUAAUACGUUAGUGUUUUGACGUUACCGACAGAAUAAGCACCGGCUAACUCUGUGCCAGCAGCCGCGGUAAUACAGAGGGUGCAAGCGUUAAUCGGAAUUACUGGGCGUAAAGCGCGCGUAGGUGGUUUGUUAAGUUGGAUGUGAAAUCCCCGGGCUCAACCUGGGAACUGCAUUCAAAACUGACUGACUAGAGUAUGGUAGAGGGUGGUGGAAUUUCCUGUGUAGCGGUGAAAUGCGUAGAUAUAGGAAGGAACACCAGGGGCGAAGGCGACCACCUGGACUAAUACUGACACUGAGGUGCGAAAGCGUGGGGAGCAAACA
rnacentral:rRNA from 1 species